CUUUUCUUGUUAGUUUUUGAAGUAUGGCCUGCCCGCUGACAUUUGGUGUUGAAGGGCCGCGGUAUUUUGACCGUGCAAAGGUAGCAUAAUCAUUAGUUCUUUAAUUGUGAUCUGGAAUGAAUGGCUUGACGAGGCACGGGCUGUCUUAGUGUUGAAUGUUUUAUUGAAUUUGGUCUUUGAGUUAAAAUUCUUAGAUGUUUUUGUGGGACGAGAAGACCCUAUAGAGUUUGACAUUUGGUUUAUUUACUUGUUUGUUGUUUGUUUAUUUUUGGUGAGUGGGCUUUUUGUUUUGUUGGGGUGAUGGGAGGAAUGUACUUAACUCCUCUUAGUUUUGGUUAUAUUGAUUUAUAAUUAUUUGAUCCAUUUAUUUUGAUUGUAAGACUAAAUUACC
rnacentral:rRNA from 1 species